rnacentral:rRNA from 1 species
UAGGGAAUCUUCGGCAAUGGACGAAAGUCUGACCGAGCAACGCCGCGUGAGUGAAGAAGGUUUUCGGAUCGUAAAACUCUGUUGUUAGAGAAGAACAAGUACGUUAGUAACUGAACGUCCCCUGACGGUAUCUAACCAGAAAGCCACGGCUAACUACGUGCCAGCAGCCGCGGUAAUACGUAGGUGGCAAGCGUUGUCCGGAUUUAUUGGGCGUAAAGCGAGCGCAGGCGGUUUCUUAAGUCUGAUGUGAAAGCCCCCGGCUCAACCGGGGAGGGUCAUUGGAAACUGGGAGACUUGAGUGCAGAAGAGGAGAGUGGAAUUCCAUGUGUAGCGGUGAAAUGCGUAGAUAUAUGGGGGAACACCAGUGGCGAAGGCGGCUCUCUGGUCUGUAACUGACGCUGAGGCUCGAAAGCGUGGGGAGCAAACAGG